rnacentral:rRNA from 1 species
ACUCAAAGGAAUAGACGGGGGCCCGCACAAGCGGUGGAGCAUGUGGUUCAAUUCGACGCAACGCGAAGAACCUUACCUGGGCUAGACAACGGCGGACAGUCCUAGAAAUAGGAUCUUCCCUUCGGGGACCGCCGGUUCAGGUGCUGCAUGGCUGUCGUCAGCUCGUGCCGUGAGGUGUUGGGUUAAGUCCCGCAACGAGCGCAACCCUCGUCCUUAGUUGCCACCAUUAAGUUGGGCACUCUAGGGAGACUGCCGGCGUUAAGCCGGAGGAAGGUGGGGACGACGUCAAGUCAUCAUGGCCCUUAUGUCCAGGGCCACACACGUGCUACAAGGGGCGGUACAAAGGGUCGCUAACCCGUGAGGGGGAGCUAAUCCCAAAAAACCGCUCUCAGUUCGGAUUGGAGUCUGCAACUCGACUCCAUGAAGCUGGAAUCGCUAGUAAUCGCGGAUCAGCACGCCGCGGUGAAUACGUUCCCGGGCCUUGCACACACCGCCCGU